CCUACGGGAGGCAGCAGUGGGGAAUCUUGCACAAUGGAGGAAACUCUGAUGCAGCGAUGCCGCGUGAGUGAAGAAGGCCUUUGGGUUGUAAAGCUCUUUUGUAGGGGAAGAUAAUGACUGUACCCUAAGAAUAAGGUCCGGCUAACUUCGUGCCAGCAGCCGCGGUAAUACGAAGGGACCUAGCGUAGUUCGGAAUUACUGGGCGUAAAGCGCGCGUAGGCCGUUGAGUUAGUUAAUUGUGAAAUCCCAAAGCUUAACUUUGGAACUGCAAUUAAAACUGCUCGACUAGAGUUUGAUAGAGGAAAGCGGAAUACAUAGUGUAGAGGUGAAAUUCGUAGAUAUUAUGUAGAACACCAGUUGCGAAGGCGGCUUUCUGGAUCAACACUGACGCUGAGGCGCGAAAGUAUGGGUAGCAAAGAGGAUUAGAUACCCUCGUAGUCCAUACCAUAAACGAUGAUUGCUAGAUGUUGGAAAUUUAUUUUCAGUAUCGCAGCUAACGCAUUAAGCAAUCCGCCUGGGGAGUACGACCGCAAGGUUAAAACUCAAAGGAAUUGACGGCUAGAAGAGNGACGAGACGACAGAGGAGAG
rnacentral:rRNA from 1 species